UGCACAGCAGCUCGUUGCCGAUGACAC
rnacentral:piRNA from 1 species